AGUGUCAUUUCAUUAGAUAAUAUUAUCUUUUUUGAAAUAAUCUUAUUAAAUCAUAAUUAACAAUAAUCAAUGAUAAAUAAUUAAAAAUAUCAGUAAAGAUCAACGAAGAGCAAGGUGGUUUUUUCUUAUCUUAGACGAAGGUCGUAUUAUGCAAAACAUAGAGCAUGAGUGAGUUGCGAUAGUGACAAACGAAGAUUCUUCGCACAUAGUGCAUUUUCGAAAGUUAAAACUUGAGUGUCGUUUAUGGAUUUUUUAAUUUUUCCGCCGAUCGGAACUGAUCCGAAGGAAUUUGAUUUUGAAUUUGAAUUUUUCCCGCCAAUUGUAUCUGAAAGACCUAAAUCAUAGAGAUCAAUACUUUUGAUGAAGACCCUCUUAAGGAUUCUUGACAAGAUUUCUCAAAGUGGAGGGGAAGAGGAACGAAUUGCUCAUGACAGCGAGACACUCAGGUGAAUAAUGGGUUAGCGAGAGGGUUGACGCGCCAGACGGGAUGAUGUUCACGGCUGAAUUCCGCCAUCCUUACUUUGCACAAAUUUGGGCUUCCAGGAUGACUUUCCCUCAAGAGGAAAACUGACAGAUCUUUCAAGAAUGGAAAAUGUUGCACGAAUACCUUCACCUAACUAUUAUCUCCCUAUGACUAUUCAUUUUAUACUUGCAUAUCAGUAAUUGCAGGUGCUUAUCAGGACGUUAAUUAGGACGAUAAAUAGGUCAUUAAAAUCCUCCAGUCUCCAUAACCCUCUCUUUUUGCCUACUUCUCCUUCCCUUUCAUAAUUCCCCUUCUCUCACUUCCUAUACUUUCCCUUCUAUCGCAUACUAUGCCUUCCCGUACCUCUACAUUUACUUUCCUUCCUCCACAUCUCUAAUUCCCCUCUCUUCACUUUUCCUGCUCUUCACAACCUCACUUCCUUUACUUCAUCUCCACAUCCUUUCCUUCUCUAAUUCCUCUAAUCCUUUUAAUAUCCCUCAUUUUCUUAAUAUCCCUUUCUUGACCUGCCCUCUCAUCACGUCCCCUAAUUUCUCACUUACUGUAAAUUCCAUUAAUCGUUCGCUCCUCGCUUUCUCUCUUAUCCCUCACAUUCACAUUUUCUCCUCCCAUCACUUCCCGGCAGUUCCUCUACCCGCUGCCCCCACUUCCCACCUCCGACGAGCUAUCGCCAAUUCGCCGACGACUACCUGCGAACCCCCGGAACCUAAACAUGGAUUGAACCUACCGAUUCCUGCUACCAAAAGUUUCAUAACCCUAUUUGUUUUCUCAAGCGAGCCAAGUUUCCUACAUGCGCAGUAGACGGUUUCUACUACCGCGCCUCUCGUAGAGUCCCCGGAAAGCUUACUGUUCCCCCGCCCCGUCUACCCGACUGGAGCAACAAAAAUAGGGUAGAGUGCCGUACCCAUGGCAGCGAAUACUCCUCAUGCACUCCUGAUUGGAAGCGACGCAAUGAUUCUUCUUACUGCGCAUGUGUCGUUGAUCGCAGGAUAAUUUAAAACAAAUACAUUUUUUUUUUCUUCUGACGUUAAAUUGCAGUUAAAUGGUAGAAUUAUCAAUAGAAUAUCAUUUUUCGAGUGAAUAACUUGAAGUUACAUACCUAGACAAGAUAAGAU